rnacentral:rRNA from 1 species
GACGAACGCUGGCGGCGUGCUUAACACAUGCAAGUCGAACGGAAAGGCCUCUUUCGGGGGGUACUCGAGUGGCGAACGGGUGAGUAACACGCGAGUAACCUGCCCUUGACUUUGGGAUAACUUCAGGAAACUGGGGCUAAUACCGGAUAGGAGCUCCUGCUGCAUGGUGGGGGUUGGAAAGUUUCGGCGGUUGGGGAUGGACUCGCGGCUUAUCAGCUUGUUGGUGGGGUAGUGGCUUACCAAGGCUUUGACGGGUAGCCGGCCUGAGAGGGUGACCGGCCACAUUGGGACUGAGAUACGGCCCAGACUCCUACGGGAGGCAGCAGUGGGGAAUAUUGCACAAUGGGUGGAAGCCUGAUGCAGCAACGCCGUGUGCGGGAGGACGGCCUUCGGGUUGUAAACCGCUUUCGCUCAUGACGAAGCUUUGUGUGACGGUAGUGGGUAAAGAAGCACCGGCUAACUACGUG